rnacentral:tRNA from 1 species
GGAGUGAUGCUCGAGUGGUUGAAGAGGCACGCCUGGAAAGCGUGUAUACGCCAAAAGCGUAUCGGGGGUUCGAAUCCCCCUUACUCCG